AAGUCGUAACAAGGUUUCCGUAGGUGAACCUGCGGAAGGAUCAUCAACAAUAGACCGAAUAUAAAUGGUCUGAUCUAUAUUAUUAUUAUUACUUUUGACUGGGGGAGGAUAGAUUGAUUAUUCUCUCUGAUGGUCUAGAACAACACCCGGAUUUUAUUGUAUAGGCUUAUUAUUAUAUGCCAUUGAACAGGAUAACAGACCAGUUUUAGGUGUAAUGCCUCUGGUAUAAAAAUCAUUAAAACUUUCGGCAAUGGAUCUCUCGGCUCUCC
rnacentral:misc_RNA from 1 species